UCCCUCAUAACUCAGUUAGUAAAGAAUCUGCCUGCAAAGCAGGAGACCCAGGGUUGAUUCCUGGUUGGGGAA
rnacentral:tRNA from 1 species